ACUUGGGGUGUGGGUACCUGGGGAUACUGAGGUAGGGUGCAGUAUUCUUUACUGAACUGGGGAAGAACUUGGGAAUAAAGGAGUUCAGUUUAGGACACGUGGAGUUGGGGAUUUGAGUAUCUUGUCCAAAAGCUUCGCAGGAGGAGGAGGGGGGAGCAAAUGCAGAGAAAAUAACGAACUCGUGGGAGCUGAACAGCGAUGUGGAAGGAAGCUCAGAAGACACGUGCAAUAGGUGGGUGUGACCUGGAGAAAGACCCAGGGAAGGAGACUGAGAAGUCAUCGGAUGUGAAGAAUCGUGGGCAGAAGAGACUAAUGAGGAAAAACAUUGCUGAAAGAGUUAAGUAUCCUAAUUUCCCAUUUGCGAUUUCUAUGCUAUAGGAAGGUUUUUCCAAGCAAGAAAGCUCGCGUAAAGGCUGGUGUAGAGGGGGGUAUAUCCAAGGUUAAAUUGACAAGACCUUGUUACAUAUAUUGGAUAGAUGGAGGGGGUGAGAGGAAGAAGAUUGGGCUUGGGUACUAGGAGGAUGAUGGUGCCUUGUUUAUUAAUGAAGGGGCACAAGGUGGGGCUUGGGAAGAAAGGCAAGGCGUCCACUUUUUUGGACUUUUGGAAUUUGAGAUGUCUAUGGAAUAUGCAAUAUCUUGUUCAAAAGGUAGUGGGUAGGAGAUAGGAGUUCAGCAGGGAAACUAAGAGUUUAAGGAUUAGAUGGGGAGGGGGGAAGAAAUAUUCUGCAUAUAAAUAAUUAGAUCUUUGGGAGCAGAUGAAGUCAUUAAAUGUCUGAUUUGAAGAGUGCAUGGCAUAUUACCUGGACAAAGAUCUGAGGAGCAAAUGAGAAGGACCAGGAGGCAGAAGUGCCAUGAGGUAUUUUCCUGAAAAAAAAAAAAAAUGCUGAUGAAGGCGUAGGUAAGAUACCUUGGUCUCUUUGUUAUUGGAGGAAGAAAAUGGCUUAAAACGGAAUGUCCAAAGUUUUUUUUUUUUUUUUAAUUUGUUUCACUGUCAUUCAAGCAUCAAGUAAAGGUGGGCUACAAAUACUGUUAUAUUCCACUGCUGAUCCACUGCUAAUUCCACUGCUCCAUUGGCAGCUUUAACUUGCUGUUAGCACUGGUUUGCCCCAACUUAAGUAGCAUGGCAUCCUCUCACACACACACACACACACACCCUGGGGCUCAUUAUUUAUGCAGAAUUUGUCAGGGAUGCUUCAUCAGGUUAUCCUCCUGUAAUUCUGACAUCACUAAAUGAACAUGAAUCUUUUUGUAAAUAUGAAAUUGGCAUGUUUGCAAAUUUUGUUGUUUGCUUUUGAUUCCUCUAGAGGUGUGGUAUAUAGUCUGAGGUUCUCUUUUCUACCUCUGGGAGAUUAGACAGUAAAAUCGCUUCUGGCAUUCAAUAGAGACCUCUAUACUUUUUAGUUGUUCCUUGAAGGUAACUUAUAUAAUUGUCUUUUAGGCUUAUCAGGAGCUUUUAACCAGAUGUCAAAUUACUAUUUAUUUUCAUAUUUCAAUGACUAUUUACAAUAUUCAUUGUUUCCUUUUUCUUUUAUGUAUUUUAAAAUACUCUGUGGAAUUCACAAGUUUCACCGAACUGCAGUGAUAACAAAGUGAAGAGCCUUUGUACUAGAGGAUUUCUUCAGAGCUCGCUUUACUUUGAAGGCACCUGAAUAAUUAUAUGAAAUGGGAUUGAAAAUUAUUAUUACCUCUCAAACUCAUCCAUAGAAAAGGACAAUUGCAGAAGAAUGAAAAGUGAUUAGCAGGACAAAGAGAGGAAGAAAUGCCAAGAAAAGUCAUGACAUGGCAGGGAACAUGGUGCAGCCAAGGUGGGAAAAAAGACCACUCCCCAUGAGAAGAUGCAAGGUGAUGGAAGCCUCAUUCAUUUUCCUUGGAAUGACUACACUCUGAAGAUGAGAAGGGUCUGGCUACAUAAAUGUUGCCUCAGCUUGGCACAGACUGGCUGUUUCCUGUUUGUUUCCCAAGAACACAGGGAGUUUGGGGUACAACAAUAAAUUAUGUCAACUCAGGGGAAGCUUCAUCCGUGAAACAUUCAAGGCUUCUUAUAUGUUCUGGGUCCAGUGGGCCAGGAAAAUAUGGCAACUGAAAAAGACAAAUUCAGAGGACUCCUUAAACACAUACACACACACACACAGAGGUCCUCCUACAUUUAUUUAUAUUUAUUUCCCAGUUUGCAUUUUCUCCAGUAUUCCUGAUCUAUAUCUUGCAAGAGGACCCAAAAGGCUCUGGAGGAGAAAGUGAGGGUGAUGACUUUGCACAGUCCUCCCUCACCCAAAUUCAACUUAUUCACAUGUCACUUUCCUGAUCAGUACUCCUCCAGAACAAAGGACAAACAACAAUAACAAUUUCCCUAUUACAUUUUAAUUUGGUUUAGGCUGCAUUUAGGAAUGCCUGUUUAAUACCACUACGCUUAUGGAGCAAAUAUGGAGCUUAAUUAAUAUGUAUGUGCUCUCAAAGGAAAAAAAAGUGCAACUGCAUAUAAUGGUAUUAGCCUACUUAGAACCCAGGUGAAUACCUUCGAUAGUUUUUCCCUCAACAACAGGACAGUAGAAUAAGCAAGUGAUUUGUACUGAUCAAGAAACAAGGCUUUCAUUUUUGCUACAUAUCUGUAUCUUCCAUGUGGGCAAAAAUAAAAUCCUAGAAUUAAGGGCAACCAAAUGGUACAGUGAAUGGAGCACUGGUCCUCCUCUCAGGAGGACCUGAGUUCAAAUGUGACCUCAGACUUAACUGUGUGACUCUAGGCAAGUCACUUGACCCCACUUAACCCCAACUGCUUUGACCAAAAAAAAAAAAAAAUUAAGAUUCUCUAAGCAAUAGGUAGAAGUGAUCCAGCUUACCAGCCUUUCAGGACUAGGUUCAAACAAUGCAAUAGUUUUCUCACAAUUCCCGUCAUUGAAUAGUGUUCUCACAGAACAGAAACUGGACCAGACCUAUAACUGAAUAGAAAGGGAAUAGAAUUAGAUGUAGAUUUGAGUCACAAGAUAGAGUCAGUGUGAUCAGUCAACACAUUAGACAUGUCUCAGAGCUGUCUUAUUGAAUGUUCAAUCUAGUACUUGUCUUUUUUGUUUUUUUUUAAGUUGUAUCCAGAUACAAGUUGUUUUACAAAUAAUAAAUUUACUAUAUGGCUAAGAUAUGGGAAUACAGGAAUUCAUAAUAAAAAAUUGCAAAUUAAAAAAAUUUUCCCAGGAUUUCACUGAGGCCAGAGGAAAGGGAGGUUGCAUUUAUUCAAAGCUUAGAACUCCAUAUAGAGAAAUAUUUGAGAGUUUUUUUGGGGGCGGGCUAACAAUUUCCAAAUUUAAAAGUCUAAUGUUCUUGUGGAAAAGUAGCUGGAGUUAGUUUUUAGUCGGUGGUACAUUCCGUUAUUUAGCAAUGUACAAGGUGAUUUUAUCUAAUUAUCAACCAUGCUUAAUAUGUACUCUAAUCAGAUAUUUGUUUUUCCCUAAUGUAUAUUGGAAUGAAGAUUUAAUUUAUAUCAAAUUAUGUCCAUUUUUUUUCAUGUAUAUACAUACAGGCUAGUAUAAUUUUCCUUAAAAAGAUAUUGAGACCAUCUUCAAGACUUGUUUAGGUCAGAAAACUUAAGGCUGUUGACAUCACUUCCUUUUCUCUUAAAUACAAAACAGCCACAAGGACAUUCAAAUUCAAAAUUGGCAAAGACUUGUAGACUGGAACAUUGCUCAUUGAAUUGAGAAAUGGGCAGUGCAGAGAAAGAUGACUCUGGAUUGGCCUUCAUGUUUUUCUGGUUCAAAGCGAGAAAUGAUAAUGAGGCAGGAGAAUAAGCAAAAGUCAGUUUCAUAACACUGAAUAGAAGGAAUAGAGAUAGUAAAUAGUACAGGUGCUAGAGAUCAAUGGUGGAUAUGAACCAGCAAAAGACUAAUGAUUGGUGAGUUGGUAAAAAAAAAAAAGUCAUACUAUUCUGAGAGCUCCCUUUUGAUUUGCCUUUGAUUCAAGCAUUUCGUUGGACAUGGCUCCCUUCAUCUCUUUGAAAAUCCAUCUAAUGACUAGGUCUUCAGGGUAUGGCAACUCUUAUGGGUUUGGAUACCCAGUAAAUCUAUACUAGGAAUGACCAGCUGGAUGAUUUCAGAGAGGCCUGGAGAGACUUAGAUGAACCUGAUGCUGAGUGAAAUGAGCAGAACGAGGAGAUCAUUGUACAUGGGCAACAAGAUUAUACAAUGAUUGGUGAUCAAAUCUGAUGGACGUGGCUCUCUUCAACAAUGAGAUGAACCAAAUCAGUUCCAUUGUUCAAUAAUGAAGAGAACCAACUAUACCUAGUGAAAGAACUGUGGGAAAUGAGUCUGAACCACAACAUAGCAUUUCCACUCCCUCUGUUUUUGUCCACUAGCAUUUUUGAUUUCUUUCUCAGGUUUUUUUUACCUUAUUUCUAAGUCCAUUUUUCUUGUGCAGCAAAAUAACUGUAUGGAUAUGUAUACAUGUAUUUAACAUACACUUUAACAUAUCUAACAUGUAUUGCUCUGCCUGUCAUCUAGGGGAGUGGGUGGAAAGGAAGGAGGGGAAAAGUUGGAACAGAAGAUUUUGCAAGGGUUAAUGCUGAAAAAUUACCCAUGCAUAUAUCUUGUAAAUAAAAAGCUGUAGUAAUAAUUUAAGAAAUCUAUAUUAGACUUAGACUCCACAUUGCUGGGACUUUUUAUGCUCUUAUUACCAGUAAGUUGAUCAAUUUGAUCCCUAGGAGAGGAGCUUUAUCAGUAUCAGAAUCCAGGGAUUCCCAAUGUUGCCAGUGGAAGGAGAGAAGCAGUAUCAGAGAAACUCUGGUUUAAUCAAAUAGCUUAAUCAGAUUCCAGAACUUAUUUGUCUUUAAAAAAAAAAAAAAAGGUUGUCUCCCCAGAUUAUGAAAUGGGGAGAGCCAUCAGGAAAAGGUUUUUACCAGACCCCAGUGUUCCUGUCAUCCCUUUUAUCAAAUGAAGAGAAUUUUUUUCUUGCCAAGGACAAACCAUCAAUGGAUAUCCAUGAUCCUAUUUCAUCCAGUCUUCCAGUAUACUAUGCUUUCUAUUAUUGCCAUUAUUCCUGUCGAUUUAUUGACUUUUCCCCUGCCUACAAACACAGAUUUAUUUAUCUCCCCCACAUCCUUUAAGAAUUCUUACUUGAUUUCUUUAUCUCCAGUAGCUGUUUUAUUCUUCUCCUUUCCUUUGUUGAUAAAUCCAGAAAGCUUCUAAACUCUGUCUCCAUCUCUUUUCUCUUUUCAACCCCCUGCAGUCUGGCUUCUGACUUCAAUAUUCAACUACAACAACUCCAGAGUAUCCUAAUUUUCACAUUGACCUGUCAAACAAACUGGAACCACUCUAACCUAUCAGUGGCUGGAGCGGCACAAAGCAGACCAGACAGGAGGCAAGAGAAAAACAAGUUUAUUUUUUUGCUGAAGCAAUUGUGGUUAAAUGACUUGCCCAGGGUCGAAGAGCCAGGAAUUGUUAAGUGUCUGAGGUCAGGUCCUCCGGACUUCAAGGGCUGGUGCUCUAUCCAAAGUGAGAAAAAUUAUAUUAACAGAUAGAAGGUCUCUCCCUUCUCCACUCCCAUUCCCCCACUAAGAAGGAUUGAUACUGUUAAAACUGGGGCCACUUAUAUGCAUCAAAGCAAAUGGCCUAUAAUACAAAUAAUUCUUAGAUCUUGAGAUAGUUCUCAUGGUUAGUAUUUCUUGUGACAAUAUGAUUGUUCUGGGGUCCCAUGGGAACAGCCUUUAUCUCAAAACCAGAAUUUAUUAACAGGAACUGGGACUGAACAUGUGAUGGAUGGCACUGGGAAAUUAGAGAAGCUAAAUUCUCAGUAAAUACUUGGUCUUCUGCUAGGCAAUACACUUUACCUGAGGCUGUUAUCAUCUUAAUGCAAAGGAUUAUCCUUAGGUCUAACUCUGAAAACUUGAUAGCCUUACUGGGCCUUUGCUCCAGGAAACAAGAUUUCUUUGAAAUAUUUGACCUCUCUCUCCAGCCUUUAUCACUAUCACUCAUUCCUAGAAACUCCUAUAUAAACUUUACUUUUUUUUUUAAUAACUAUUUUAUUUUUCCAAAUACAUGCAAAAAUUUUCUUUUUUUUAAAAUUUUAUUUUAUUUAAUAAUAACUUUAUAUUGACAGAAUCCAUGCCAGGGUAAUUUUUUACAUUAUCCCUUGCACUCGCUUAUGUUUCGAUUUUUCCCCUCCCUCCCUCCACCCCCUCCCCAAGAUGGCAAGCAGUCCUAUAUAUGUUAGAUAUGUAUGCAAAGAGUUUUCAACAUUCACCUUUGUAAAACAUUAUGUUCCAAAUUUUUGCCUCUUCCCCACAAGAUGAUAUAGCUUAAACGUGCAAUUCUAAACAUUUCCAUAUUAAUCAUAUUGUGCAAGAAAACUCAGAUCAAAAGGAGAGAAAAAACAAGGGAAAAAAACCCCUAGCAACAACAAAAAAGUGAAAACACUAUGCUUUGAUCCACUCUUCAUAGUACACUCUUGUGGAUGCAGAUCCUUCACAAGUCUUAAAAGUGCUGUAAGUUUUCCUUGAAACCAUUCUCCCCUGGUUUUCCUACUAUCUGAAUGUUCCUUCACUUUUGCUGGAAUUACAUAGCCACUAAUUGUCCUCCCAGGCUGUGCUGAGACUUCUUUUUCUCUCACUAAAUAAUCUCUUGCUCAGUUACUAACUGAAUUAUUGUUCCAUAGGAAAUGAUUUAGAUGCUCUCAGAAAAAAAAAAAAAACAAACAAAAAACAACUUGGAGAGCCCUCUAUGACCUCAAAGUGGAAAUGUCCCGUAUAACAAAGUAAUAUUUUGGGAUGACCAGCUGUAAGUGCUAUUCUCAUAGCACAAUCAUCACUCUGAAGGACUUAUGAGAAAUCCUUUCUAUAUCCAGAAAAAGAACUGAUUAUGUCUGAAUACAGAUUGAAGCUUUGCCUUUCUCUUAAAAAAAAAAAAAAACAAAACCUUAAAUUUUCUUGAGUUUUUAUUUUCAUUAGGAUGAGAAUCUGCUUUCUUUUACAACUUGACAUUUAUGGAAAUGUUUUGCAUAACUUCACAUGUGGUUUCUUAAUUGUGGGUGGGGAUAUAAAGAAGAAAACCUAGAACUCAAACAAUUUAAAAACAAAUGUAAAAAAGUUUUUUUUUGUUUUGAAUGUAGCAGAGAAAAAAUAUAAAAUAAAACAAUUAUUACCUCCA